UACGGAGGAUGCGAGCGUUAUCCGGAUUUAUUGGGUUUAAAGGGAGCGCAGACGGGGGAUUAAGUCAGUUGUGAAAGUUUGCGGCUCAACCGUAAAAUUGCAGUUGAUACUGGUCCUCUUGAGUGCAGUUGAGGCAGGCGGAAUUCGUGGUGUAGCGGUGAAAUGCUUAGAUAUCACGAAGAACCCCGAUUGCGAAGGCAGCUUGCUAAACUGUAACUGACGUUCAUGCUCGAAAGUGUGGGUAUCAAACAGG
rnacentral:rRNA from 1 species